rnacentral:tRNA from 2 species
CGGGGCGUAACUCAACGGCAGAGCUGGAGGCCGUAGCCCUCCGCACGUUGUCGGUUCAAAUCCGGCCGCCUCGA